rnacentral:rRNA from 1 species
UGGGGAAUAUUGCACAAUGGGGGAAACCCUGAUGCAGCGACGCCGCGUGAACGAAGAAGGUAUUCGUAUCGUAAAGUUCUGUCCUAUGGGAAGAUAAUGACAGUACCAUAGAAGAACGCUCCGGCUAAAUACGUGCCAGCAGCCGCGGUAAUACGUAUGGAGCGAGCGUUGACCGGAAUUAUUGGGCGUAAAGGGUACGCAGGCGGUUUAAUAAGUCGAAUGUUAAAGAUCGGGGCUCAACCCCGCAAAGCAUUGGAAACUGAUAAACUUGAGUAGUGGAGAGGAAAGUGGAAUUCCUAGUGUAGUGGUGAAAUACGUAGAUAUUAGGAGGAAUACCAGUAGCGAAGGCGACUUUCUGGACACAAACUGACGCUGAGGUACGAAAGCGUGGGGAGCAAACAGG